rnacentral:rRNA from 1 species
GUUUAUACGUAAAAAUGUAUAAUCUGGCCUGCCCACUGAAUUUUUUAAAGGGCCGCGGUAAUUUGACCGUGCGAAGGUAGCAUAAUAAAUAGUCUUUUAAUUGGAGGCUUGUAUGAAAGGUUGGACGAGAGGAAAGCUGUCUUUAAAAUGAAUAUUGAAUUUUACCUUUAAGUGAAAAGUCUUAAAUGCAUUUAAGGGACGAUAAGACCCUGUAAAACUUAACAAGGCUCCUAUGUCUUAAAAAUAUGAGUUUAAGCUUAGUCUAAAGGGUUCUUGUUUGGUUGGGGCGACUAGAAUAUAAUAAUAUAGUAACUGUUCAGUAUAAUAAAUAGUAAUAACUUGGUAAUAUGACCCUUUAUUAAGGAUUAAAAGAUAAAGUUACUUCAGGGAUAACAGCGUAAUUUUUUUUGAGAGUUCUUAUCGACAAAAGUAGUUGCGACCUCGAUGUUGAAUUAAAAUUUCUUUCAAAUGUAGCAGUUUGAUCAGUAGGUCUGUUCGACCUUUAAAAUUUU